AUCCACUCCAAGGGAGAUCCUAGUUGGGUCCAAUCUGUUGUUCCCUGGGAUCGUUCACCAUGGAUAGAAGUUAAACGUAAGAAAGCAGGUUUAGAGAGUCAGAAGGGCCCACACCUCUACACCUCCCACCUUCCCAUUCAGCUCUUCCCCAAGUCAUUCUUGAAUUCCAAGGCCAAGGACAUAAGAGCCAGUGGAGUAUUGCUAUAAAGAUAUCUGAAAAUGCAGAAGCAACUUCAAAACUGGGUAAUGGGCAAAGAUUGGAAGAGUUUGGAGGGCUCAGAAGAAGACAGGAAGAUGAAAGAAGUUUGGAAUUUCUUAGAGACUGUUAAGUGGUUGUGACCAAAAUGCUAAUAGUAAUAUGGACAGUGACGUCCUGGCUGCUGAGGUGUCAGAUGGAAAUGAGGAACUUAUUGGGAACUGGAACAAACGUGACAUGUGUUAUGCCUUAGGAAAGAACUUGGUUGAAUUGUGUCCAUCCUUUAGGACUCUGUGAACAUUUGAACUUGAGAGUGAUGAUUUAGGUUAUUUGGCAGAAGAAAUUUCUAAGCAGCAAAGUGUUCAAGAUGUGGCAUGGCUGUGUCUAACAGCCUAUGUUCAGAUGUGUGAGCAAAUAAAUGACCUAAGGUUGGAAAUUAUAUUCUAUUUAAAGAGGAAGCAGACCAUAGUAGUUUGGAAAAUUUGCAACCUGGCCAUGUGGUAGAAGAGAAAAGCCUAUUUUCAAGAGAAGAAUUCAAGUGAGCUGCUAAGCAACCACUUGAUAGAGAAAUUUGCAUAAGUAAAAUGCAAACAAGAGCUGAUAGCAAAGACAAUGGCAGAAAGGUCUCAAAGGCAUUUCAGAGACCUCUGCAGCAACCCCUCCCAUCACAGGCAAUCCAUCCAUCCAGUAAAGCUAGAACAUGGAGGAGGGGAUGAACAGCUGGAGAGCUUCUGGGCAGGAAAAAAAUCCUUAAGUCAGGCAAAGAAUAGAUUGAGGAGACAGAGAACCUGAAGGGUGACAGCACUUUUUAAAGCUCAGUGGUCCUCUGCAGGACUUUUUGAACCAAGCAAUGUAGAGACAGCUUACCAUAUGAACUUAUGUUGUUACUCAAGAAAGUUGAGAACUAAAUAGGUUUUCAGCUAUUGUAGGCCAAUAAUAAAUCAGACUGUCUAUUGAUAUUACUUUUGCUUCACUAAGAAAACAGGAUACUACUACAGACACAUCAGAAUGACUACAAUUGAAAGAACGACAAUAUAAAGUCUUGGAAAGGAUGUGGAAUGACUGGAAUUAUCAUACAUUGGUAGUGAACAUGUUAUAUGGUACAACCACUUUGGAAAACUGACAGUUUUUUAAAAAAUUAAACACACAACUAUCCCAUGACCCUACCUCUAUUACAAGAGAAAGGAGUGCACAUGGCCAUAGAGAGAUAUGUUCAUACAGCUUUAUUCACAGCAGUUAAAAACUUAAAACAAGCUGGAUGUCCAUUAAUGAGUGAAUGCAUAAACUAACUGGUACAUUCAUGCAAUGGAAUGCUACUAAGAACUGUUGACGUAUACCCUACACAUAUGAAUUGCUAACAUUAUGCUAAGAGAAGCCAGAUGCAAAAGAAUACAUAUUGUAUACUAUUCUAAGAAGGCCAAGAACUGGCAAAAUGAAUCUAUGGGAUAAACAUCAGAAUAGUGGUUCUUCUAAGGGGGUGAUGAAUGGGAAGGAGCUCAAGGGAAGUUUCCAGUGUGAUGGAAAUAUUCUUUACCUUCUAGGUGAUGGUUACAUGGGCAUACACAUCAUCGUGCUGUACACUUAAGAUAGGUACAUGAUACUUCAAUAAACCAUUUUUAAAAGAAAACAUCCAUUCCUGGAAACAGAACAGACACAUCACACAUAAACAAGAACGCUUUGUUCUUAUCAGAAUGUAUUACUUCAUUUAAAGUCAUGGUUUGGCCCUCUGGUUGGUAGUGGAGGCCCUCCAAUUCCUAUGACUUGACUAAUUAUUGUUGAUCUUGAGAAAUGUACAUAAUGGGUUGUAUUUGUUUGGCUAUAGAAAAAAGAUGAGAUUUCUGUCUUAGCAAUCUCUUUAGCCGACUGCCUAUGGUACAUACUGGAUUCUGGUGUAAUGCUUAUUCAAU
rnacentral:lncRNA from 1 species